GACGAACGCUGGCGGCGUGCCUAAUACAUGCAAGUCGAGCGGAAGUUGAAGAGCUUGCUCUUCAACUUUAGCGGCGGACGGGUGAGUAACACGUGGGCAACCUGCCCUGCAGAUCGGGAUAACUCCGGGAAACCGGUGCUAAUACCGAAUAGUUUUCGCCACCUCCUGGUGGCGUACGGAAAGACGGUUUCGGCUGUCACUGCAGGAUGGGCCCGCGGCGCAUUAGCUAGUUGGUGGGGUAACGGCCCACCAAGGCAACGAUGCGUAGCCGACCUGAGAGGGUGAUCGGCCACACUGGGACUGAGACACGGCCCAGACUCCUACGGGAGGCAGCAGUAGGGAAUCUUCCGCAAUGGACGAAAGUCUGACGGAGCAACGCCGCGUGAGUGACGAAGGUUUUCGGAUCGUAAAACUCUGUUGUGAGGGAAGAACAAGUCGGAGAGUAACUGCUCCGGCCUUGACGGUAUCUGACCAGAAAGCCACGGCUAACUACGUGCCAGCCGCCGCAGUAACAC
rnacentral:rRNA from 1 species